rnacentral:rRNA from 1 species
ACUCAAAUGAAUUGACGGGGGCCCGCACAAGCAGCGGAGCGUGUGGUUCAAUUCGAUGCAACGCGAAGAACCUUACCUGGGCUUGACAUGUCCGUGGUACGACCCUGAAAGGGGAAGGACCCGCAAGGGAGCGGACACAGUUGCUGCAUGGCUGUCGUCAGCUCGUGCCGUGAGGUGUUGGGUUAAGUCCCGCAACGAGCGCAACCCUCGCCCUUAGUUACCAUUCUAGGGGGACCGCCGAUCCAAAUCGGAGGAAGGUGGGGAUGACGUCAAGUCAGCACGGCACUUACGUCCAGGGCGACACACACGCUACAAUGGCCGGUACAACGGGCAGCGAAGGGGCGACCUGGAGCGAAUCCCACCAAAGCCGGUCUCAGUUCGGAUCGCAGGCUGCAACUCGCCUGCGUGAAGGCGGAGUUGCUAGUAACCGCUGGUCAGCACACAGCGGUGAAUACGUUCCCGGGCCUUGUACACACCGCCCGU